CCUACGGGAGGCAGCAGUGGGGAAUCUUGCGCAAUGGGCGAAAGCCUGACGCAGCCAUGCCGCGUGUAUGAUGAAGGUCUUAGGAUUGUAAAAUACUUUCACCGGUGAAGAUAAUGACUGUAGCCGGAGAAGAAGCCCCGGCUAACUUCGUGCCAGCAGCCGCGGUAAUACGAAGGGGGCUAGCGUUGCUCGGAAUUACUGGGCGUAAAGGGAGCGUAGGCGGACAUUUAAGUCAGAGGUGAAAUCCCGGAGCUUAACUUCGGAACUGCCUUUGAUACUGGGUGUCUUGAGUGUGAGAGAGGUAUGUGGAACUCCGAGUGUAGAGGUGAAAUUCGUAGAUAUUCGGAAGAACACCAGUGGCGAAGGCGACAUACUGGCUCAUUACUGACGCUGAGGCUCGAAAGCGUGGGGAGCAAACAGGAUUAGAUACCCUGGUAGUCCACGCCGUAAACGAUGAUUGCUAGUUGUCGGGAAGCUUGCUUCUCGGUGACGCAGCUAACGCAUUAAGCAAUCCGCCUGGGGAGUACGGUCGCAAGAUUAAAACUCAAAAUGAAUUGACGG
rnacentral:rRNA from 1 species